rnacentral:SRP_RNA from 1 species
UGGCCGGGUAGGGUGGGGGGAGUCGCCAUCCCCUGCGCCCGCGGCGUAAGGCGGGCACCAGUAACCCCUAGGCUCGGGCGACUGGCUGCCCAGUUCCUGGGUCUCGAAUGAGGGUCGCCCGGCGGGGCUCGGCGGGCGUGGACGCCUCCUCCGAAGGGAGGAGGUGUACCACGCUAAUCGGGGGAAGCGGCUAGGCCCGGAAGGGAGCAACCGUGCCCGACCGCCGGCGUUCGCCGGAUCCGGCCCGAACGGGACCUAGGGGUAAGGCUGGGCAGCCAUAGUCCGGGCUUAGGGGGGCCGGCCC